UUUUUUAUUAUUAUUAAUCAAUGUUCAAAUAUGCUUUCUACAACCAUAUACCG
rnacentral:sRNA from 1 species